GCAUAUCAAUAAGCGGAGGAAAAGAAACCAACAGGGAUUGCCUCAGUAACGGCGAGUGAAGCGGCAAGAGCUCAAAUUUGAAAGCUGGCUCCUUCGGGGUCCGCAUUGUAAUUUGCAGAGGAUGCUUCGGGAGCGGCCCCCAUCUAAGUGCCCUGGAACGGGCCGUCAUAGAGGGUGAGAAUCCCGUCUGGGAUGGGGUGCCCGCGCCCGUGUGAAGCUCCUUCGACGAGUCGAGUUGUUUGGGAAUGCAGCUCUAAAUGGGUGGUAAAUUUCAUCUAAAGCUAAAUACUGGCCGGAGACCGAUAGCGCACAAGUAGAGUGAUCGAAAGAUGAAAAGCACUUUGAAAAGAGAGUUAAACAGCACGUGAAAUUGUUGAAAGGGAAGCGCUUGCGACCAGACUCGCUCGCGGGGUUCAGCCGGCCUUCGGGCCGGUGUACUUCCCCGCGGGCGGGCCAGCGUCGGUUUGGGCGGCCGGUCAAAGGCCCUCGGAAUGUAACGCCCCCCGGGGCGUCUUAUAGCCGAGGGUGCCAUGCGGCCAGCCCGGACCGAGGAACGCGCUUCGGCUCGGACGCUGGCAUAAUGGUCGUAAGCGACCCGUCUUGAAACACGGACCAAGGAGUCUAACAUCUACGCGAGUGUUCGGGUGUCAAACCCGUGCGCGCAGUGAAAGCGAACGGAGGUGGGAACCCCUCGGGGUGCACCAUCGACCGAUCCUGAUGUCUUCGGAUGGAUUUGAGUAAGAGCGUAGCUGUUGGGACCCGAAAGAUGGUGAACUAUGCCUGAAUAGGGCGAAGCCAGAGGAAACUCUGGUGGAGGCUCGCAGCGGUUCUGACGUGCAAAUCGAUCGUCAAAUUUGGGUAUAGGGGCGAAAGACUAAUCGAACCAUCUAGUAGCUGGUUCCUGCCGA
rnacentral:rRNA from 2 species